AACAGGACCAUAAAGGAUCAAAAAAAGGAGCGAUGCCGGCUGGUUGAAAUCCUUAAGCCUGAAACCGAAUACCACAAAACCAUGAGCCAACUACAAGUGCCAAGCCGCCAGGAAGAAGCAGGAUGCAGCCAUGUAUGUAUGCAGUGGUGGAGAAAGGAAACAAAUGCAACCCUGAAUUCCCCUGGGUAACAACAGAAGAGGCUGAGGCAGCACAAGCUUCCUGUACCAUCCUCCUAACGUGCCUCUACCAGAACCCACGGGAGGCACUUCUACAGUCAGGCAGUAGGUCCGUUUCCACAUCCAUGUAGUCUUGGCCUCUCUGCUGACAUUCGAAAUAACCCAGGCAGUUAAAGCCAAUCUUUGGUCAUGGUUUAUGGGAUGUGGACACCUGGCUACCAGAAGCUGGACUGAGCCCAUAUGAACUCGCUUCCACGGAGACACUGAGCAGACCACAGGUGGUAACACCUUUCAGCCUGUUAACAAAGCCUGGAUCUCAACCAAUAAACCGAUGAAUAAAAAGAUCCCCCCAUCCCCCAA